rnacentral:rRNA from 1 species
UACGUAGGUGGCAAGCGUUAUCCGGAAUUACUGGGCGUAAAGCGCACGCAGGCGGUCUUUUAAGUUUGACGUGAAAGCUCCCGGCUUAACUGGGAGAGGUCGUUGAAUACUGGAAGACUUGAGGCAAUGAGAGGGGUGUAGAAUUCCCGGUGUAGUGGUGGAAUGCGUAGAUAUUGGGAAGAACACCGGUGGCGAAGGCGGCGACCUGGUCCUUGACUGACGCUGAGGCGCGAAAGCGUGGGGAGCAAACAGG